rnacentral:tRNA from 1 species
GCACUGUUGGCCGAGCGGAUGAGGCAAACGACUCAUAAUCGUUACCAGGUGGGUUCAACCCCCACAUAGUGCA